CCUACGGGUGGCAGCAGUGAGGCAUAUUGGUCAAUGGGCGCGAGCCUGAUCCAGCCACGCAGCGUGAAGGAUGACUGCCCUACGGGUUGUAAACUUCUUUUAUAAAGGAAUAAAGUGAGGCAAGUGUGCCUAUUUGUAUGUACUUUCUGAAUAAGGAUCGGCUCAUUCCGAGCUAGUAGCCGCGGUAAUACGGAGGAUACGCGCGUUAUCCGGAUUUAUUGGGUUUAAAGGGAGCGUAGAUGGGUUGUUAAGUCAGUUGUGAAAGUUUGCGGCUCAACCGUAAAAUUGCAAUUGAUACUGGGAGUCUUGAGUACAGUUGAGGUAGGCGGAAUUCGGGGUGUAGCGGUGAAAUGCGUAGAUAUCACGAAGAACUCCGAUUGCGAAGGCAGCUUACUAAACUGCCACUGACAUUGAUGCUCGAAAGUGUGGGUAUCAAACAGGAUUAGAUACCCCAGUAGUC
rnacentral:rRNA from 1 species